rnacentral:rRNA from 1 species
GAUGAACGCUGGCGGCGUGCCUAAUACAUGCAAGUCGAGCGAACGGACGAGAAGCUUGCUUCUCUGAUGUUAGCGGCGGACGGGUGAGUAACACGUGGAUAACCUACCUAUAAGACUGGGAUAACUUCGGGAAACCGGAGCUAAUACCGGAUAAUAUUUUGAACCGCAUGGUUCAAAAGUAAAAGACGGUCUUGCUGUCACUUAUAGAUGGAUCCGCGCUGCAUUAGCUAGUUGGUAAGGUAACGGCUUACCAAGGCAACGAUGCAUAGCCGACCUGAGAGGGUGAUCGGCCACACUGGAACUGAGACACGGUCCAGACUCCUACGGGAGGCAGCAGUAGGGAAUCUUCCGCAAUGGGCGAAAGCCUGACGGAGCAACGCCGCGUGAGUGAUGAAGGUCUUCGGAUCGUAAAACUCUGUUAUUAGGGAAGAACAUAUGUGUAAGUAACUGUGCACAUCUUGACGGUACCUAAUCAGAAAGCCACGGCUAACUACGUGCCAGCAGCCGCGGUAAUACGUAGGUGGCAAGCGUUAUCCGGAAUUAUUGGGCGUAAAGCGCGCGUAGGCGGUUUUUUAAGUCUGAUGUGAAAGCCCACGGCUCAACCGUGGAGGGUCAUUGGAAACUGGAAAACUUGAGUGCAGUAGAGGAAAGUGGAAUUCCAUGUGUAGCGGUGAAAUGCGCAGAGAUAUGGAGGAACACCAGUGGCGAAGGCGACUUUCUGGUCUGUAACUGACGCUGAUGUGCGAAAGCGUGGGGAUCAAACAGG